CAAGAAUACGCCAUAAUCAACCAGGCAAGGUUCCUGCCUUGGAUGUCACAAUCCGGUCAAGGGGAGAGACACAGGUCAUCACAAUACCAGAGAUGGGAUCUCACUAUGUUGCCCAGGCUGGUCUGAAACUCCUGGAAUCAAGCAAUCCUCCUGCCGCAUCCUCCCAAAGUGCUGGGAUUACAGACAUGAGCCAACGAGCCUGGCCCUGAUUUUAAAAAGCCUGUGAGCAUUUCCACUCGUCUGCCAAGGCAGAGACAGCCCCAUCCAGAAGCAAGAAUGAGACCUCGGGGCCCUGGCGCCCUUGAGCCAACCCCAUCUCUGUUCUCACAACUUGCCUUGCCUGACCUCUGGAGAAAAACUUCAGAAAAUAUCACCCUUUCUUCCCACCUGCUCCCGCUGGCCAAAAUCCCCAUCAAAGCCUGGCUUCAGCCCCUCAGACUGGGAACUCUAUCCAAAUGGAGUGUGGGGAGUGUGGGUGAGGAAGGACGGAAGGAAGUAGGUCACACGCUGGCUACCGCACAACGGGGAAGAGGCCAACCUCGGAAAGGCAGAAGAGUGGCCGCCAUGCCGAGCUUCCAGAGAUGGAGAGAAGGUCUAGGAAGCCACCUUGGGGAAGCCGCCUGAGCAGGAGCGGGGCAGCCAGGGAUCAGAGCCCACGGCCUGCUGGGGACCCAUCCUGGGCACGGGGCUCUGGGCUCUGUGCCCAUUCUCUGAUGUGCCACAUUGUUCUGCUACUUCCUUCUCUGGAAGUAAUAAGGGGGUUGGGGGUGGGACAGCACGGCCAGGAGUAGAUGGAGCGGGGUGGAGCUGCCAGUGGGGGAGGAGGCUGCGGUUCAUUCCCACGACCAGCUGCCCUUCUGGCCGCCCUGGGACUGCGUGGGAAAAGGUCUGGGAAGUAUGGGGGAUGGUGUGUGUGUGUGUGUGUGUGUGUGUGUGUGUGUGUGUGUGUGUUUUCAUGUGUCUGACUCCCUUGCUUGGCUUCAGUCACAGGACAAAGCCCUUUGAGAAACAGUCACCAACCUGUGUUCCCACUGGGCUCUGUCCUGGGAGAGGCACAAGAACCCGCCCUGACGCCUGAGAGAAAGACUCUGAAGGCCUCAGGACCAAAUCCCUGGAGGGGUCUUGGCGUCUAAUGAAUCUAGAUUGACUGACUUCCCUGGGAUGCUUCUGGAACCUUCUGCUAAGCCCUCAGCUUCUUGGCAGAGCUCUAUUACUAACUGGAUAUCAGAAUAUGGGUGCAAACUAGACAUGGGGAGUGAAGUCAGCCAUUCUCACAGCAUCUACCUAAGAAGGCCAGGAUCCUCCACAGCCACGUAGAUCGUAGAGCCAGUGGCAUGCCGGGGAUGAUAUACAAAGACAAGAAACUCUGAAACAGAGAACACAAACUAACAGCCCAUAGGCCAAAUGCAGCCCGCAGGCACAUGGCUUAUUUGGCCAACACAGCAUUUAAGAAAUGUUUGAGCCGAGGCUGGGUGAGGUGGCUCAGGCCUAUAAUCCCAGUACUUUGGGAGGCCGAGGCAGGUGGAUCACCUGAGGUCAGGAGUUCAAGACCAGCCUGGCCAACAUGACAAAACCCCGUCUCUACUAAAAAUACAAGAAUUAGCCAGGUGUGGUGGUCCAUGCCUGCAGUCCCAGCUACCCAGCUGCUUGGGGGGCUGAGGCAGGAGAAUCGCUUGAACCUGGGGGGCGGAGGUUGCCGUGAGCUGAGAUCACACCACUGCACUCCAGCCUGGGCGACAGAGCGAAACUCCGUCUCAAAAAAAAAAAAAAAAAAAAAAUCCCAAUUUCUACAGUCUCUUGAAAAAUCAGACGAUAUGGCUAACAUUGAUGCAUAUGGCCCCAGGACCACAGCUGAUGGGGCUGAAUAAUGACCACCCUUUAGAAAGACCUUGGACUGUCCAUUUUGCCACUGUCCACACCACUCUGUAUUGUCUCCAGCAGUGAGGCCGAGUAUGAGUUGCUGUUGCUCAUCACACUUGAAUGGUUAUUACACUGUUUUCUGUACCCUCGUCUCAUUCAAAAGUGGGGAUAUGGCCAGGUGUGGUGGCUCACGCCUGUAAUCCCAGCACUUCGGGAGGCCGAGGCAGGUGGAUCACUUGAGCCCAGGAGUUUAAGACCAAACUGGGCAACAUGGAGAAACCCCAUCUCUACUAAAAAAAAAAAAAAAAAAAAGUGGGGACACGAAAGAAACUAAGAGGGCCACUGUUUGUAGCGAGCACAUUUCUACCCCAGCCAGGCCUAUCUAUAAGCAAAUAAAGAUGGGAUUUCAUGUCCUCCCAUCAGCUUUUCUGCACCCUCCCUUCUACCUUCCAGUGGCACAGUGCUUAAUGACAGCUGCUGACAAUACAGUGUCACAGGCCUUGCGCCAAAAUUACCCCCAACUCCUUCCCUCACUCCCAAAUCACAACUCUUAUUAUCUAAGUGAGCAACCCCAGUUGCAAAACACAAAGGAGUAAUAAGUCCUGUAGAAAUUCUCAGCUCCACCCCAGCCCCUGGUUGCCAAUGACCCUGUGAAGAAGCUAAAACUCCUUAGCUCGGACAUUCUGUCACAGAGAGACCUGCAGCAUGUGCCAGAUGAACUUGCAUCAACUGAAAACCAAGGUCACCUCUGGAGACCAGAAAUGGAAGUGACAGUCCCAGGCCUAUUCAUAAAGCUUCAGUUUUUUACAAGGAGAUUGUAAUCAUGCAAAACUUGCGUAAUUAAAAUUAAUAAUAAACAGAAA